rnacentral:rRNA from 1 species
AGCAGUCGCCGCGGGAAUACAGAGGGUGCAAGCGUUAAUCGGAAUUACUGGGCGUAAAGCGCGCGUAGGUGGUUUGUUAAGUUGGAUGUGAAAUCCCCGGGCUCAACCUGGGAACUGCAUCCAAAACUGGCAAGCUAGAGUAUGGUAGAGGGUGGUGGAAUUUCCUGUGUAGCGGUGAAAUGCGUAGAUAUAGGAAGGAACACCAGUGGCGAAGGCGACCACCUGGACUGAUACUGACACUGAGGUGCGAAAGCGUGGGGAGCAAACAGGAUUAGAUACCCCGGUAGUCCCUGUCUCUUAUAC